rnacentral:rRNA from 1 species
AACGAACGCUGGCGGCAGGCCUAACACAUGCAAGUCGAGCGCCCCGCAAGGGGAGCGGCGGACGGGUGAGUAACGCGUGGGAAUAUGCCCUUUGCUACGGAAUAGUCUCGGGGAACUGGGGGUAAUACCGUAUACGCCCUUUGGGGGAAAGAUUUAUCGGCGAAGGAUUAGCCCGCGUUGGAUUAGGUAGUUGGUGGGGUAAUGGCCUACCAAGCCGACGAUCCAUAGCUGGUUUGAGAGGAUGAUCAGCCACACUGGGACUGAGACACGGCCCAGACUCCUACGGGAGGCAGCAGUGGGGAAUCUUAGACAAUGGGGGCAACCCUGAUCUAGCCAUGCCGCGUGAGUGAUGAAGGCCUUAGGGUUGUAAAGCUCUUUCAGCUGGGAAGAUAAUGACGGUACCAGCAGAAGAAGCCCCGGCUAACUCCGUG